rnacentral:pre_miRNA from 1 species
AAGCUUUUUGCUCGCAUUAUAUUUUGGAUUUGAAUAUAAGACGAACAAAAGGUUUGU